UCCUAUUCUUUUAGUGUCAGAAAUGCUGCAAAUCUGUAUCAGAAAUUUGUGGCUAUAAUCCCUUUCAUUUUUCUUCUAGCUACUGGCAUUUCUAUUCAUUGCUUUCGCCCUGUUGUUAUAUGAUUUCAGCUAUUGGAAUAUUAAAGAUGGAUUCUUAUAACAUUUUGAUAAUCAAUCAUGUGAUAAGUUUAGCAAUGCCAAACUGUGCUGGAAACACCGAUAAGAAUUGCAAUGCAUGGUAGAGGGUCACUGGACCCAGUAUAAAUUUAUGACUUUCUUUUGUCUAGGAUGUAAAGAACUGUUGAAGAAGCUUUUAUACUUCUUGUUUGCUUGAAGCCUUGGAGGGUAGCAAGUAGUCUGGAGAAAAAGGAGAAGGAGGAUGAAUCUUUCCAGCUGCUACUUGGCUCACGCUAUAAUGUAUUAGAGGCACACUGUCUUCUACCUUUGAUAAGAUGGCUAACUUCAGGUGACUCACUGUUAUCAGCUCAGCCACAUUGCCCACAGGGACUGUGAUGGGCACUUUAUGCGACUAUUAAAGGAGGUAGGAACAUAGAAUUGUUUUGUUGUUGUAUGUGUUUCAAAUGUAUGUAGAAAGUUGUAUAUAGAAGUUGAAUAGUCCAAGGGGUGGAUUGAUUUAUUGACUCUCAGCUCCAAAUUCACCCCUUGCCUCUUCCGUGAAUGUGGAUCUGUACCCUUCAACUAUGUUCCUUGCCAGUUGGCAUAACGUUAUGCUUUGCCAGUAGAGGAUCAGGGAGAAAAGAUUUUGAUUUUUGCUUUCUGUGUGCACACGCCACAGGUUCCUGCAGCAUGAGAGGCUUCUCCAGCGUCCGGCUCAUGCAGUGCACCCACACCAGGUUCCUGCGCUGUACAGUGGCCAGCAGUGUCCUCCAGGACUUCCAUUUUUGCGUGGUACUGCAGAACAGAGCCUGCAGUGAGACACCUUCCUGUAUCCAGCUUUCCCCAUAUUCAUCCCUAGAUUCAUGAAUCGGCACCCUAGAUUAUGGUUUUCUGGAGUGAGACGAGUGAAGGUGGAGCAGAGUCCUUCAGUUCCGAGUCUCCAGGAGAGAACCAGCUCUACUCUGAGAUGCAGUUUUUCUACCUCUGUGAACAACGUGCAGUGGUUCCAACAGAAUCCUGGGUUGGCCUCAUCAAUCUGUUUUUCAUGGCUUCAUGGAUGAAGCACAGUGGAAAGUUAUGGUCAAAAAGAAACUCUGAGGAGCUCUGUGGUACCCUACACAUCACAGCCGCCCAACUGAAAGACUCAGGCACAUACUUCUGUGCAGUGGAGGCACAGUUCUCACAGGAAAUCUGCAGCCUGGAUCCGAACUGCAGCUGGGCCUGCAGCCCCAACCCCUUCCGUGAGAGAGGCAUGUUGCCCCCACAGUAUCACUUGCACAGCUUCGGGUUUUCUGAUUGACGUUGCACUUUUAUCUCUGCUAAAAUUAGACAUUUCAGGAUUGCCGUUUAACUUUUUUGUCCUACCCUUUUGCUCUCAGAAAUCUCUUUGCAGGAAAAAGCUUUGAUAUGGAACCACUGGAGCAACUUUUAAAGAUAUCAGGACCCAAUGUACUGUUAAAACAGAUCCUCUAGCAAAGAGCAUAUAAAUUACAUAUAAAUUACUGUGAUAAAAAAGGUUUGAAAAAAUAUAUCCUGGUCGAGAAAUAGCAAAGAGAUGACUCAAUGUCUCAUCUAAAUGCACGUUGUUCACUUUUCUAGUAAAAGGGAAGAGAGCAUGUGUGAUGUAUAUUAUAUAUAUAUAUUUUUUACUCCUGGAACCCAUAAAAGAUAAAAUUUUAAAGCACGUAACAUCAUUGGGUGUCAGACAUUCUCUGAAUUUACAUAUAUUAUCUGGGUGCUGACAAUACCUCUUUACUCUACACAUGAAUAAACUGAGGAUUAUAGGGCACACAUGUUUUGCCUGAGCUCAGAUGGUUAUGAAACUAGCAAUGAAGCUGGGCUGGGAUUCUCCUUCUUGAUGUAUGAAAGCAGAGUGUGUACUCUAAGCUACACACUAUAGAAGACCCUUGAGAAUCACAAAAUACCAAUUAUUUCAAUUGAUAAAUUUGUGCAAUGUGCUCACAUACAUCACUGGCAAAUAUAUCCGUUGGGAUAAUUUCUAAAUUGCAUCUAGUAAGAAAGAGUUCAUUAAACUUUUCAUUUUGUUACAUUAAAAUCCAUUUGUCUUCCUUGCAUUACUCAUGAUUUUGUAACAUCAUUCAAGGUCUCGAAAAGAGAGCAGAAACUUCUAGGGUUGCCCCCCAAAAACUUACCUGCUGUAGCCACACUCCAAGACUUCUGAGAAGCAAAGCCAAAGUUUAAACCUAAAUGUGGAUCAGUUACAACACGUGUAGAAUUUCAACCUUACAAGGUCUGUUACAUGAACGUAAAAGAAUGGACUAGGAAGGACUGGGGCCCUGAGAACCAAGAUGAAGACAAGCUGGCAGUCUCCGGUGAAGCUGGGAGCAGGGCCAGCUUCCUGGGUAUGUGAUCUGUUGCAGCCCACAGGACCCUAGUUAAUGCUCUGCUAUCACUGCCUUGACAUUUUUAAUAGUUUUGUUUUUAAACUUGUGUGAGUAAGUGAAGUUCAGUGAGAGGACAGAGCAUGUAGGUGAGCAGAGGAGAUACACAGGACAGCAGGACACAGGACAGAAUCACAUGCAGGCUCAGGUUCAUGGGCACAGUGGGCAGCAUGUGAGCUGAACAGUUGGAUGGGCUAUUUUGAGUGCAUGAGCACACAGGGCUCUCUGGUGUUUUGCGGCUAUCCAAAGUGAGUGGCAGUAAACUUUUCAGUAAAUUAUUACACAAUAAAAGCAUAUACAUGGACAAGGCAAUAAGGUAUAUUGGAGAGUUAUUAGAAUCCUUCAAAAAGUUUAGAGACUGUGGUUUUGAAAGUUGAUAUAACAUUACAAUUUGGAUAUCUGCAGGUUUAGAAAUAGAAAUUACAUGUAAGGAUAGCAGCUUAAUGGAAAAGAGCAUCAUUUUCUCACCUUUUAAUGCUAUCUUCUUUUGUUUUUUUCCUUAACAUCUUUUUUUUCAACUUUUAUUUUAGAAUUGGGGGUUCAUUUGCAGGUUUGUUACAAUAGUAUAUUAUGUGAUGCUAGAGUUUGGAGUUAUAAUGAAUCCAUUACCCAGGUAGUGAGCAUAGUACUGAAAAGGUGAUUUUUUUCAAUCCUUAACCCCCUCCCUCUGUCCCCUCCCUUGUAUUCUCCAGGGUCUACUGUUCUCAUUUCUAUGACCUUGUGUACCUAAUGUUUAGCCCCUACUUAUAAGUGAGGACAUGUCAUAUUUGGCUUUAUGUUUCAGUGCUAGUUCACUUAGUUAUCCUAAGUUAUCCUAAUGGUUUCCAGCCACAUCCAUGGCUGCAUAGUAGUCCAUGUUGUAUAUGUACCGUGUUUUCCUUAUCAAAUCCACUGCUGAUGGACACCUGGGUUGAUUCCAUGUCUUUGCUAUUGUGAAUAGUGCUGUGAUGAACAUAUGGGCACACAUGUCUUUCGGUAGGAUGGUUUAUUAUCCUUUGGGUAUGUAGCCAGUAGUGGGAUUGCUGGGUGGAAUGAACUCUCAGUUCUUUGAGAAAUCUCCAAACUGCUCUCUAUAGUUGCUGAACUGAUUUACAUUCCCAGCAACAGUGUAUAAGUGUUGCCUUUUCUCCACAGCUUCAUCAACAUCUGCUAUUUUUUUUGGCUUUUUAACAAAAGCCAAACAUUGUGGUUUUGGUUUGCAUUUCUAUGAUGAUUAGUGAUGAGCAUUUUUUUUCAUGUUUCCACUUGUAUGCUUUUUUUUUUUUUGAGAAGUAUCUGAAGAGCAUUAUUUUCAUGUGAAGUUUUGAACAGCCACAUUUUAACAUAAAGGAUAAUAUUGAAAUUAAUUAACUUUUUUUUUUUUUGAGACGGAGUCUCACUCUGUCGCCCAGGCUGGAGUGCAGUGGUGCGAUCUCAGCUGACUGCAACCUCCGCCUCCUGGGUUCAAGUGAUUCUCCUGCCUCAGCCUCCUGAGUAGCUGGGAUUACAGGCCCCUGCCACCAUGCCUGGCUAAUUUUAGUAGAGAUGGGGUUUCACCAAGUUGGCCAGGCUGGUCUCGAAUUCCUGACCCGUGAUCCGCCUGCCUCAGCCUCCCAAAGUGCUGGGAUUACAGGCGUGACCUACCGUGCCUGGCCUGAAAUUAAUUUUUUAAUAAUUGAAGAUACAGUGAUAAAAUGAAUAAACAAGGAUUUUGAAUUAUAUCUAUAUCAUUAAGCCAUUUCUAGUUUCUUAUACAGCUUCCACAAGUUCCUAAAAAUUUCAGAGGAAACAUUAAAACAGCACUGUGUAAAUUUACAUUGAAAACUGAGUUCAGACGUACAUAAAACUGAUUUGUGGUAAGAAAUAAAUUGUUUUAGAAAAAUUGUUUCACAGGGACCAUCAACCACUGAUUUACUACAAUUUAUAUUUCAGUUAAUCCAUCAGAUAAGUAUGCUAAUGUUGUCACAGUAUAUAAAAUACCUUUAAGAACUCCAGUAUCAGUUGCAUCAGCAGAAAUAUCUUUCUCGCAGUUAGAAAUGAAAAAUUCUAGUUAAGAUUUUGCAUUUCAUAAGAGCACUUGACAUUGCUUUCAUUUAUAUGCUUGAAAAUGAAGUUGCUCCAGGCAUGAAUUUUGCUAACCUCAUAAAUUAAUUUGCAGAAAAG